rnacentral:rRNA from 1 species
AUUGAACGCUGGCGGCAGGCCUAACACAUGCAAGUCGAGCGGUAGAGAGGUGCUUGCAUCUCUUGAGAGCGGCGGACGGGUGAGUAAUGCCUAGGAAUCUGCCUAGUGGUGGGGGAUAACGUUCGGAAACGGACGCUAAUACCGCAUACGUCCUACGGGAGAAAGCGGGGGAGUCUUCGGACCUCGCGCCAUUAGAUGAGCCUAGGUCGGAUUAGCUAGUUGGUGAGGUAAUGGCUCACCAAGGCGACGAUCCGUAACUGGUCUGAGAGGAUGAUCAGUCACACUGGAACUGAGACACGGUCCAGACUCCUACGGGAGGCAGCAGUGGGGGAAU